rnacentral:sRNA from 1 species
UCUUCAAAUAUAAAAAAAAAAACAGUUGUUAAAAAUCAUUGCAUAAUAUUUAAAAAUGUUGUCCCAUGGUUUGGUUCAGGGAAUAUUUCAAAAGUUGACCCCCCAUCCCCUAUUCCCAACCCCAAUACCAACCCCCAACCUGAUAAAAAAAAACAACGAAAAUUAUGGUCAAUCUUCUGUUAGUCAAUAUGCUUUGUGUGAAAAAAAUAUUAAGAAGCAGUUAUUGUCGUCCUGAACAAAUAGUUCAUUUGUACAGAAAUCUUUAUCAUAUUUAUAGUGAUAUCAUAUUGAAAGAUUUGAGAAUUCAUUUAAAUGGUUUUUAUUACACCUUGUAUUAUUGUAGAAGCUUAUUAUGUUGUUCAACAAAUUUUAUGCAAAUGUAGUCAGAGUUUUUAAUAACAGACUUUUAGAAAUUGAUAUGUAUGUACACAUGUAAUUCAAGAGAAUGAAAUGCAAUUAUAUUACUUUUAUCUGUCCAAUUGUUGACUGCUUUUCUUGUUGUUUUUUCAUAUCAUUUUGCUUCUUGAUAUCCUUAUCGUUUUGUUCCAUAGAUACAUGAUGCAUAUACAUGUGUAUUUAAUCAAACAAAGAACUAUAUUCGAUAAGGUCUUAUUUCUGCCCCCAUUUUUUCAAAUUUGAAAAUAAGCAAUAUCAUAUCAUAUAAAAAUUGAUAUUAGAUAUUUCAAUAAAGCACAAAACUGAU